ACCAGCGUCCCAUGCUGAAUACACCAGUUCUCGUCCGAUCACCGAAGUUAAGCAGCAUCGGGCGUGGUUAGUACCAGGCUGGGUGCCCGCCUGGGAACUCUGCGUGCUGUUGGCA
rnacentral:rRNA from 13 species